CAGCCGCCGCGGGAACACGAAGGGGGCUAGCGUUGCUCGGAAUCACUGGGCGUAAAGGGUGCGUAGGCGGGUCUUUAAGUCAGAGGUGAAAUCCUGGAGCUCAACUCCAGAACUGCCUUUGAUACUGAGGAUCUUGAGUUCGGGAGAGGUGAGUGGAACUGCGAGUGUAGAGGUGAAAUUCGUAGAUAUUCGCAAGAACACCAGUGGCGAAGGCGGCUCACUGGCCCGAUACUGACGCUGAGGCACGAAAGCGUGGGGAGCAAACAGGAUUAGAUACCCCCGUAGUCCCUGUCUCUUAUAC
rnacentral:rRNA from 1 species